rnacentral:snRNA from 1 species
GUGCUUGCUUAGGCAGCACAUAUACUAAAAAUUGGACCGCUACAGAGAAGAUUAGCACGCAAAUUCAUGAAGUGUUCCGUUUUUUU